rnacentral:lncRNA from 1 species
CCACUCUGACCGGGGCCCGGCCGCCCCCUGGGAGCCACUUCCAGGAGGGGCUGGAUUGGCAGCCCAUGAAGGGCACGCGCCCUGGCUGUGGGCCGGGCCGCUCCGGACCUUGAAGCUCAUUCUUUCCGAGCCCCUCGAGCAGGGGUUUCCGCGUUCCCCGCAGGGGCGUCCUUUGUAGCCCGCAUCCGAUUUUCAAAGGCAGGAAGAGAAGACAAGGCUCAGGGCACUUCGGUGCCACUCGGUCACCCCCGGGGUCCUGGCGAAGGUGGCCUCACCACACACCCGUCACCAGGCGGCAUGAGGGAGGCCCCGAGGGGGGACUGGCAGGGCCCGCCGUGGGGGAGGUNCCUCACCACACACCCGUCACCAGGCGGCACGAGGGAGGCCCCGAAGGGGGACUGGCAGGGCCCACCGCGGGGGAGGCGCAGCAGGGGUGCUGUGACAGCCGCCUGCGGCGGGUCGGCUUGGGCCUCCUCCUCCGUCGGGUCCCAUUCCACCCCAGGCCUAUCUGCUGGGCCGGCUCAGGGCCUGUCCAGCCCCUGCCAAAGGCCUCGGCUGCCCCCAACCCCCUGAGAUGUGCUGCCCGGGCCCCCAACCCGCUCUGGAUGUUCCUGCCCUGAUGCCAAGCCACCAGACCCCCAGUGGCCACUCCAGGCUAAUGGGGGCGGCAGGGUCUCCGGGCUCUCACGCAACCGAGCCCCUCUGGCAAAGGCUCCGCCGCGUGAAGGCUUUCCUGUGGUGCAGGUGUGGGCCUGUGUCCUGGGGCCAGCCACCUCCAGCUACGCCUAAAGGCCUUGAGCCCGGCAUCUCCUUGCUCCCAACACCCUCCCCCACACCCCCCAGGCUGAGGUGUUCAAUGACCUCAGCUUAGAGGGCCUGAGCCCACGCUGGGAGCCCCGGAGAAGGAGCUGGGGCUGCCGCCCCUAGGAGCUACACCCCGCCAGCUUCUGGGGAGGGUUUCAGCUGCAGGAGCGCUGCCUGCAUGGAGCCAGCAGGCCAGAGCAGGGAGGUCGAAGCCGAGGCCCCCGCUCUCUGCUCGGUCCGCAGCACACCGGCCCCAGCCCCCCACGCACCUUCCAAGCCCCCGUCUCGGGUCUUGGUUGCGAGUUCGGAGGAUGACAGGGUCUCCUGGCACAGGGCGCAGUCCUCCAAGGCUGCACUGCGCAGGGUCUGGGUGACUGGAGGAAAGACGUGGCUGCUGAGGUCCAUGGCAGGUGCAGCUGGGUGCUGCCAGCAAGGGGCGGCCCCCAAACACACCCCGGCCCACAGGGGAAGGGAGUCACCGCAGGCCCCAUCCGCCGCCCCUGCGGGCUGGGCGAUGACUCUCCGUUGUCUCUGUGUGGUCAGGUCCCCCUGGACCAGGGCCCCCGAGGCAGACGGGGAACCAGGCCCGGCCACCGCCCCGAGGCCCACUCUCCUGCCCGAGGGACAGUCCAUGCCACCACUGCCCUAGCCAUGACAUCCCAGGAGGCAGCCCUGCCCAGAGUUCCUGGCACUGGGGGCAGCGUGGCCGGGUGGUGUGGACACGGGGAGGCAGACUUCUCGCCCCGUGGUGGAGGACGUGUCCUCCAGGGCUGGGCCCACUGCCCUGGGCGCCCCGACACUCUUGAGCAGGAGCCCCUGUGAUGAGGGGCCGCUGGCCCAGAAGGGAGCCUCAGCCCAGGAGAGGGGCAGGCGAGCAGGGGUGGGGCCCCUUCCCCGCACUGCCACGUCCUUCUAGGGAGGAAGGGGCCAAGCCCCCUGUGCCUCGUCCUUCUCCGCCCUGCCACCUGCGCCCUCACAGGAGCUCAGCAUGCCUUGCACAUGUGUGUGCAAGGACGUGUACGAGAGCAGCUUGUGUGCCACGCCGGGUAUGUGUGAGGCCGUGAGGCAGGUUACAUCGGCCGCUCUGCCUUCCAGCAGGGGCCUAGGUCCCCUCCUUGGCUCUGGGCCGGCCUCUGGACGCUGUGACGGGUGGGAUUCGGUGGAAGGGACACUGCCUCGGGGUCUUGUCUCUAAGAGAACCGCAGCAAGUGGGUGACCUUGCUGGCACGUGUGCAGCGGGAGCUGCCUGCAGGGGCGUGCGACUGCCUGCAGGGUGGGGGCGUGGUGCCACUUCCCUGGGCAGUGGCCAUGGGGUACCCAGGCCUGCGACGUGGGCCCCUCGGUCCCCCAGCGGACCACCUGGACUGCUGGGUGGUUUCCAUUUGGAAGGCGCCUGGUCCUGGAAAAGCCAGUGUCCCUGCCGGGCCUAUUCGCCUGGGCCGACGCGUGCGGAUCUCCCGGAGGCGGAGGACACGCCGGUCCGCCCAGCCUCAGAGCCUGUCCCGCGCGGGCACUCACCCUUCUUCAACUUCUCCUUGUCGUCUGUUUCGGGCUUGGUGGCCAUGACCUGGAAAAGGGUCUUGAGAAUACUUCUCAGGUCGCUGGCGUAGUUGGUCUGCAGCUGGUCGGCCACCCCUGGGGGAGGAUGGCCGAGGGGGGCGUUAGGCCCACCAGCUCCUUGGGUGGGGGCAAGAAGAGGCUGCCCAACCCCCGGGACAAUUCCUCUUGCAGAAGCAAAAGCUCGGGAGGCAAGGGACACCAGGGGAGGGGGGACCCCGGCAGCUCCCCAGGCAGGCGGUUCCUCUCAUUCGUGCAGUUAUAUUUAGGGUCACGGCCACCCCACUAAGCGGCCCUGGCCCCUCACCGAGGGACAGCCCAGAGCCCCCAACUGUGCCCACCCCAUGGCAGCACCACCCCCCAUGGCCAUUCAGCAUCAAGACGCAGCCCUCUCCCUGCAAACACUGGGGCCCAAGUAGCCUAGGGGCUGGAGCCGAGAGUGGACCCUGCCUGGACGGGGGGCUCAGCGCCCAGCUCCUCUGCCGCCUGCCAGGAGGACAACGCUUCCCCGAGUCUCGUCCGCUUCACCCUCACCCGAUUCAGCCUUUCGCUGUGAAAAGCAAAGCUAGCCCACAGCAGGUGACGGGGCUGCCACCUACAGCAACGCAAGUGACCGCACAGCCCACAGGAAGGGACGCCCUAGGACCUGUCACAGCGAUGACACUGCGGUUCCAGGUUCCUGGCACAUUAGCGGCUGUGCUGAGCACCCGCCAGACACGUGUUCCUUCAGCCCCACAGCAAAGCCAUGCAGUGGGUUGUGAAGACGUCGGAACGGAAGCAUGGAGUCACACUGACUCCUGGUCCCACCUGCCUGGCUGGGGACUGUGCCUGGGGGGCCCUCGGCUGUGCUACAUGACCCCCUGACUCUGCAGCAUCCACCAGUCCACGGGCUGCCCCACAGCUGCCCCUCGCUCCUGCCCAGCGCAAGGAGCAGGCGCGAGGCCAGGAGCGCAGAGUAAACGCCCGCCGGGAGCUGGGCCACGGGACAGGCACUGUCUGGACAGAGCCCACAGGUGGAGGCCGGGGACGAGGGACCGCACCGCCCACGGAUGUACUUCUGAAGCAUCCGAACCCGUCAGCUACUAAAACACGCAGCACUAAAGGAAAGGGUUAAAACGCCACCGUUUGUGCCACUCCCCUCUCUGCAUUCCCCAGGAGACAAAACAGCCAUCGUCUCCUCACCCCCUGCUGCUUCCUGUCCCAAGAAAAGGACACAAAAAUCAGUCAGGAUGUACCGGGAAUCCGAACCACAAACUGAACAGAAACCCCCUGUGCGGGCGGCCGAGGGGCUGCAGGGACCAGAGUGGGCUCCCCCCCCACCGCUGGAGGACCCAGCCAAGCGUGAUGGCCCCUCGCUGGGCAUCCGGCCCGUCGCAGAGCUUGGGGACGAUGAAAUGACUUUCUGAGGAAGGCCUGGGCAGGGCUGGCACCACCAGCGCCCCAACAUCAGUGGGGCGCCUCUUGCACCCAUGUCAGCCACUCCCUAAAGCCCGAGGGUCCCCAGGCCCCGAUGUGGCACCUGAAAUGCAGACGAACAGCCGGUGGAUCAGGUCGUGGCUGCCGUGGAAUCGGGACCGGAUCUUCUCUCUUGUGGCCACGGGAGCUGCGUCUGGCCCGGACUUGUCCGAGGGGCAGGAAUCGGCUGUGGAGCUGCUGUGCAGAGAAGCAAACACGGGGCUGGGGUCAGGGCAGCGAGUAGAGACAAACUCUGCUCUGAGGCUCCCGCGCCCCGGAGCCUGGGCUGUGCAGCAGGGGCAGGCUUCCUCCCCGAAGGGGCACGGCACCUGCUGAAGCCUCUGCAGUGGGCUCACGGGUCCCCCAAGACCCCCGGAACCUGCAAACGUGACCUCUUAGGAAUAAAGGUCUUUGCAGCUGCUCUCA